UGGGGAAUAUUGCACAAUGGGCGCAAGCCUGAUGCAGCCAUGCCGCGUGUAUGAAGAAGGCCUUCGGGUUGUAAAGUACUUUCAGCGGGGAGGAAGGGAGUAAAGUUAAUACCUUUGCUCAUUGACGUUACCUGCAGAAGAAGCACCGGCUAACUCCGUGCCAGCAGCCGCGGUAAUACGGAGGGUGCAAGCGUUAAUCGGAAUUACUGGGCGUAAAGCGCACGCAGGCGGUUUGUUAAGUCAGAUGUGAAAUCCCCGGGCUCAACCUGGGAACUGCAUCUGAUACUGGCAGGCUUGAGUCUAGUAGAGGGGGGUAGAAUUCCAGGUGUAGCGGUGAAAUGCGUAGAGAUCUGGAGGAAUACCGGUGGCGAAGGCGGCCCCCUGGACGAAGACUGACGCUCAGGUGCGAAAGCGUGGGGAGCAAACAGG
rnacentral:rRNA from 1 species